rnacentral:rRNA from 1 species
AAAGGUAAGCUACUAAGAGCGAAUGGUGGAUGCCUUGACUGGUAAAGGCGAUGAAGGACGUACUAGACUGCGAUAAGCUACGGGGAGCUGUCAAGAAGCUUUGAUCCGUAGAUUUCCGAAUGGGGCAACCCAAUGUAUAGAGAUAUACAUUACCUAUAUAGGAGCGAACGAGGGGAAUUGAAACAUCUUAGUACCCUCAGGAAAAGAAAUCAAUAGAGAUUGCGUCAGUAGCGGCGAGCGAAAGCGCAAGAGGGCAAACCCAGUGCUUGCACUGGGGGUUGUAGGACUGCAAUGUGCAAGAGGUAAGUUUAGCAGAACAUUCUGGAAAGUAUAACCAUAGAGGGUGAUAGUCCCGUAUGCGAAAAACAAACCUUAGCUAGCAGUAUCCUGAGUAGGGCGGGACACGAGGAAUCCUGUCUGAAUCCGGGUCGACCACGAUCCAACCCUAAAUACUAAUACCAGAUCGAUAGUGCACAAGUACCGUGAGGGAAAGGUGAAAAGAACUGAGGUGAUCAGAGUGAAAUAGAACCUGAAACCAUUUGCUUACAAUCAUUCAGAGCCCUAUGUAGCAAUACAGGGUGAUGGACUGCCUUUUGCAUAAUGAGCCUGCGAGUUGUGGUGUCUGGCAAGGUUAAGCAAACGCGAAGCCGUAGCGAAAGCGAGUCUGAAUAGGGCGCUUAGUCAGAUGCUGCAGACCCGAAACGAAGUGAUCUAUCCAUGAGCAAGUUGAAGCUAGUGUAAGAACUAGUGGAGGACUGAACCCAUAGGCGUUGAAAAGCCCCGGGAUGACUUG